AUCUUCCUUUUUGUAUUUUUGUAGGAUUUAAAUUUUAAGAUUCUCUUUUUAAUGCUGUUGAAUUUGGUAUAUA